rnacentral:rRNA from 1 species
UACGUAGGUGGCAAGCGUUGUCCGGAUUUACUGGGCGUAAAGAGCGCGCAGGCGGUCGUUCAAGUCGCGUGUGAAAGCCCCCGGCUCAACUGGGGAGGGUCACGCGAUACUGAUCGACUCGAAGGCAGGAGAGGGAAGUGGAAUUCCCGGUGUAGUGGUGAAAUGCGUAGAUAUCGGGAGGAACACCAGUGGCGAAGGCGGCAUCCUGGACCAAUAUUGACGCUGAGAAGCGAAAGCAUGGGGAGCGAACAGG